CCCUUGUUGCUUAAUAAUCCUGUGAGAUUCUUCUCUGGAGAUUCUGCCAUGAAACCAAUGCUGUGUCCUAUGAAUAACUGUACUCAGUGUGGAAGGGUGGAGUGGACUUUGGCUACCCAAGAUGUUCAUUCUUGUGCUACGUUUCCUCCAAGCAUGUCCUUCUUCCAUGGCAGCACUCUGUGCUUCAACAGGAUUUUCAAUAACUCUUCCUAUUUGCCCCG
rnacentral:lncRNA from 1 species